rnacentral:rRNA from 1 species
UACGUAGGGUGCGAGCGUUAAUCGGAAUUACUGGGGCGUAAAGCGUGCGCAGGCGGUGAUGUAAGACAGUUGUGAAAUCCCCCGGCUCAACCUGGGAAUUGCAUCUGUGACUGCAUCGCUAGAGUACGGUAGAGGGGGAUGGAAUUCCGCGUGUAGCAGUGAAAUGCGUAGAUAUGCGGAGGAACACCGAUGGCGAAGGCAAUCCCCCUGGACCUGUACUGACGCUCAUGCACGAAAGCGUGGGGAGCAACAGG